UUUAUUUAGUUACUUUACAACUCUGAUUGCUUGUGAUUUAUGGUGUCAUUACAGGUUGCCCUAUCAAAUGUUAUUUGGUGGUGUACGUGGCCUGACAGUAGAUCAUUUUCGAACUGUGAACGGCUUCAGCAACAAAUUCUGGGGCUGGGGAGGAGAAGACGAUGACAUGUCAAACAGGUUAAUAUACCAUGGUCUCUUCAUAUCUCGUUCCCCAAAUAUUACUGGUCGUUUUACCAUGAUGCCUCACAAGAGAGACAAACCCAGUUCAGAGAGGGUUUACUUCUUACGUGGUGGGAAAAAGAGAUUCAAAACGGAUGGCAUCAACAGUAUCAAAUAUCAAGUCUUAGAUAUUCAGCUGCGUCGAUUGUACACUUGGAUCCAUGUACACCUCAUGCCUUCAUAAUCAUGUCCGCUCUCACUUGUUGAAUUGUAUUUAAAUAAAUACUGAAUGUUUGGCUUUACUUUCUGAUCAUUUGUGAAUGAAAAUUAUUUUUUUAGGCAAGUUAGCUAAUAUAGUGUCAUUUUAAUAAACGUGAUACAUUUUAGCUACUCUUUUAUUUGUCAUCUAUGAGCAUCAUUCUGUUUUAUGUAAAGGUCAAGAGUUUCAGUAACUCAACUUCAAAAUGGUUUAUUGGUGACUUGUUCACCUUUGUGUUUAUUAACACGAAGAUACAGUUUAUCUAAGUAUAAAUAGGUAAAUUAACAAUAGUUAGUAUAUUUUCAUAUUAACAUGUUUAACUUAAUACAUAUGCAGUUGCAGUUAUUAGUGAGGUAUAACUAACCCUGUGUUUGUAGUUGUAUGCAUUAGAGGACACUUAGAAUACAAAGAUGUAUGGUUUGGCUUUAAUAUUGUGGAGUAGAGAUCAUAGUUUGUAGUUUCAAUUCAGUGUUGUAAAGAUGUAUGUUGUUAGCAUGAUAACAAAGUGCUAUAAUCAAUCACAUAUUGUAUAUUUAUUAACUUGGUAAUGAGGAUGACUUUCAUCGCUGUGGCACAUUGGUGCCUUACAACAUAGAAGAACUUCCACACUAUAUGUUCACCAUGAUGCUAAUGUUACAUGCAUGCUACGUUCACAUUUGUAUAAUUUGCCUAAUGUAAUAUCGCCACCACCCGGUAGAACUUUGUAAUAGUAACCACUCGUUAGGCAGCAAUACUACAUCUAUAUGAUUUAAAAUGUAAGCAUACAGACAUACAGACACAUUAUGAGUCAGAUAUAAUAUUUAAA
rnacentral:lncRNA from 1 species